AUUAACUAAUACUUAUUUACUGAUUCACUCCGUAUCCUAGGUGAUUUCCAGUGAAUAUGAUCAUGAGCCAUAUUUUACUUCCCCCAGGGAAGUAUGGAAUAUGGCUCAUAUUUUUACUUCCUACAAGCAAUAUUCAACUUUUGAAUCAUCUUGACAAUUAAUAUUUUGUACACAGUAAAAUAGCAAUACAGCACGCAAAAAGUUUUUGUAGACUAUGUUUUGUGCUAUUGUCAUAUUGACCUGAGCUAGCUAGCAGUCUAGGCUACUUAUUACAUGUUCAUGAAGCUUGAAACAUUGCAGUUCAAUCCUUGCUCUGUGUUUCUAGUCAAGGCUGUGGCUCAGAGGUAGAGGAGUACAGUGCAGCAGUGUUGGUAGACUUGUGCAAUGCAAAUUGAAAACGGCAGCUGCUGAUAUUGGUGGGCAAGUCUGGUCAAACUGUAUGGCUUCCAGUAGAACCUAGCUGCUUGGAGAAGUAGCUAGCUCUCAUACUUGACAGCUGUAACUGUUCUAACUGCAUAUUCUAAGGCACAAAAGUGGCUGUGAGAGCAAGCUUGACUGUCUCCAUUGAUGUUCAAAUGACUGUUUUGCUGUUUUUGCAGUAAAUAAAUAAAUUGUUGACUGGUUGCCUAGUAAUUAUGGUUUAUAACCUCAGCCUCGGGCUACGCCCUCGGCAUUGGUUGCCAUAAUUACUAGUCAACCAUGCAUGAAGGAUGCCAGAUAAUUAUUAUGACACAAACGCGUCAUAAUCUUAAUUUCCUGUUCAUUGUUGUGUUUAGAUGCAUGCAUAUAAAAGCAACAAUCCUACUGCCUUCAUGUUAUAACAAAAGAUAACAAAAUAAGAGAAUUAAAGCUGAGAGCUCACAUCUUCUGCAAAAACUACCAAGUCUUCCUUUCAUUGGUACUAAAUUUUAAAGAAUAACUCAACAGAAAGAGAAUGGACUCGUAUAUACAAGCCACAUCAUGUGGUAGACACAGUCAGUCCUGGACAAAACUGAAAAAUUUGAUAAUUCUGUGUUUUCUGCUCAUUUGCACAAACAACUGCUGCGGACAGAAUACCACUACUGACUCCAUAACAGAACCCAUCUCCUCCACCCAACAACCUACCGCCAGCUCGAGUGUUCCGUCAUCCAGCCCAACAGCUGCAUCGCUACCCAGCUCAACCACCCAACAACCUACCACCAGCUCGAGUGUUUCGUCGUCUAGCCCAACGGCUGUAUCGCUACCUAACUCAACGCCGCCCCAGUCCUCAAGCUUAGACAGAAAUCGGUGCAAAAAAAGGAGGGGCAAAAUCACAGUGUCCCACGAAGGAUGUAAUGAUAAAGAAAUCCUAGUUCCAAUGUGCGGUGGUUUCUGUCGAAGUGAGACACUUGUAAAAGCAGAGGCACCCUAUACGAUAUCUAACUGUCGUUGCUGCACCUCACGAAGCCAUGAGAUUGGUUUCAAAAGAGUGACUUUCACUUGUCAAGAUGGGCAACGUGAAACUCACAAGGUGUGGAUCGCAAAAGAUAUAGAAUGUGCUUGCCAGCUUUGCACACGGGUAAUUGGCAACAAUAAAUGAUAUAUAAUAAAUUGUGACGGAUAAAGUGAACCCAAUCUAUCUCCCACAAUUAUUCACAUUAUUUAUGGCACAUAUACAUUUUUAGUUGGUGUCUAAGAGACGCUACAUUGUCAUGUCCUUAUAAUGGACACUAAUUUCAAUUUUUUGAACCUGUUAUUACUUAUCUAUCACCAGCAGGCUAUUUGUGUCGUUUCUCUAGGCAUAAUUAUACACAUUGUGCAAUCAUGACCAUCUCCGUUUGUGCAGGCACAACUCAUUCAAUUUGUUAGUACAUGUACAUGUUUAAUGAUUUUAUGAAA